rnacentral:rRNA from 1 species
GAAAGGGGGCUAGCGUUGUUCGGAAUUACUGGGCGUAAAGCGCGCGUAGGCGGCCUGGUAAGUCGGGGGGGUGAAAUCCUGGGGGGGCUCAACCCCGGGAAUUGCCUUCGAAACUGCUAAGCUUGAGGCUGCGAGAGGUGAGCGGAAUUCCGAGUGUAGAGGUGAAAUUCGUAGAUAUUCGGAAGAACACCAGUGGCGAAGGCGGCUCACUGGAGCAGAUCUGACGCUGAGGCGCGAAAGCGUGGGGAGCAAACAGGAUUAGAUACCCUGGUAGUCCACGCCGUAAACGAUGAGGGCUAGUUGUCGGGCGGCAUGCCGUUCGGUGACGCAGCUAACGCAUUAAGCCCUCCGCCUGGGGAGUACGGUCGCAAGAUUA